ACGGGCAUAGGUUAAUGGUAGACUUUUCCCUUUCCACGUGAAAUGUGUCAGUUCGAGUCUGACUACCCGUA
rnacentral:tRNA from 1 species